AUUGAACGCUGGCGGCAGGCCUAACACAUGCAAGUCGAGCGGCAGCACGGGAGCAAUCCUGGUGGCGAGUGGCGAACGGGUGAGUAAUAUAUCGGAACGUGCCCAGUCGUGGGGAUAACGUAGCGAAAGCUACGCUAAUACCGCAUACGAUCUAUGGAUGAAAGCGGGGGAUCGCAAGACCUCGCGCGAUUGGAGCGGCCGAUAUCAGAUUAGGUAGUUGGUGAGGUAAAGGCUCACCAAGCCGACGAUCUGUAGCUGGUCUGAGAGGACGACCAGCCACACUGGGACUGAGACACGGCCCAGACUCCUACGGGAGGCAGCAGUGGGGAAUUUUUGGGACAAUGGGCGCAAGCCUGAUCCAGCAAUGCCGCGUGCAGGAUGAAGGCCUUCGGGUU
rnacentral:rRNA from 1 species